CAUGAUUUACAUUUGAGUGAGUGGCGAACUGGUGAGUAACACGUGGGAAACCUGCCCAGAAGCGGGGGAUAACACCUGGAAACAGAUGCUAAUACCGCAUAACAACUUGGACCGCAUGGUCCGAGUUUGAAAGAUGGCUUCGGCUAUCACUUUUGGAUGGUCCCGCGGCGUAUUAGCUAGAUGGUGGGGUAACGGCUCACCAUGGCAAUGAUACGUAGCCGACCUGAGAGGGUAAUCGGCCACAUUGGGACUGAGACACGGCCCAAACUCCUACGGGAGGCAGCAGUAGGGAAUCUUCCACAAUGGACGAAAGUCUGAUGGAGCAACGCCGCGUGAGUGAAGAAGGGUUUCGGCUCGUAAAACUCUGUUGUUAAAGAAGAACAUAUCUGAGAGUAACUGUUCAGGUAUUGACGGUAUUUAACCAGAAAGCCACGGCUAACUACGUGCCAGCAGCCGCGGUAAUACGUAGGUGGCAAGCGUUGUCCGGAUUUAUUGGGCGUAAAGCGAGCGCAGGCGGUUUUUUAAGUCUGAUGUGAAAGCCUUCGGCUCAACCGAAGAAGUGCAUCGGAAACUGGGAAACUUGAGUGCAGAAGAGGACAGUGGAACUCCAUGUGUAGCGGUGAAAUGCGUAGAUAUAUGGAAGAACACCAGUGGCGAAGGCGGCUGUCUGGUCUGUAACUGACGCUGAGGCUCGAAAGUAUGGGUAGCAAACAGGAUUAGAUACCCUGGUAGUCCAUACCGUAAACGAUGAAUGCUAAGUGUUGGAGGGUUUCCGCCCUUCAGUGCUGCAGCUAACGCAUUAAGCAUUCCGCCUGGGGAGUACGGCCGCAAGGCUGAAACUCAAAGGAAUUGACGGGGGCCCGCACAAGCGGUGGAGCAUGUGGUUUAAUUCGAAGCUACGCGAAGAACCUUACCAGGUCUUGACAUACUAUGCAAAUCUAAGAGAUUAGACGUUCCCUUCGGGGACAUGGAUACAGGUGGUGCAUGGUUGUCGUCAGCUCGUGUCGUGAGAUGUUGGGUUAAGUCCCGCAACGAGCGCAACCCUUAUUAUCAGUUGCCAGCAUUAAGUUGGGCACUCUGGUGAGACUGCCGGUGACAAACCGGAGGAAGGUGGGGAUGACGUCAAAUCAUCAUGCCCCUUAUGACCUGGGCUACACACGUGCUACAAUGGAUGGUACAACGAGUUGCGAACUCGCGAGAGUAAGCUAAUCUCUUAAAGCCAUUCUCAGUUCGGAUUGUAGGCUGCAACUCGCCUACAUGAAGUCG
rnacentral:rRNA from 2 species